rnacentral:misc_RNA from 1 species
GAGAGAGAGAGAGAGAGAAAAGGAGAGAUUUUGUGCUGUGGGUUUUGAAAAAUGGCUUCAGCAGUGUUGCUGGUGGUGGUGUUUGUGUUUGAUUUGGUUGCUUUUGCGCUUGCUGUUGCCGCCGAGCAGAGGAGGAAUACCGCAACAGUCAAUAUUGAAGGAGAUUAUAAGUACUGUCAAUAUGAUUCAGAUAUUGCAACUGGAUUAGGUGUUGGUGCCUUGGUGGCCCUUAUGGCUAGUCAAAUCCUAAUAAUGGUGGCAAGUAGAUGUUUGUGCUGUGGAAAGGCCAUGAGACCUAGCGGGUCUAGGACCUGGGCAAUUGUUUUAUUUAUCUCCUGCUGGGUAUUCUUUUUCAUUGCUGAGGUCUGCUUGUUAGCGGGUGCUGUUCGAAAUGCCUACCACACCAAAUACUACUUGUCAUCAGACCAUACCCUAUCAUGCCGGGAACUGAGAAAGGGAGUGUUUGGGGCUGGAGCUGCAUUCGUCAUCCUUACAGGCAUAGUAUCUGAGCUUUACUAUGUAAGCUAUUCCAGGGCAAAUGACGGUCAGCUUUCAUAUGGCAGAGACACCGGUGUGAGGAUGGGGAACCUAUAGCACGGUUAGGUUGGACUGAGAGGCAAGAAAUAUUCUAGUAUGCAGCUCAUAGGCUCAUACCUCAUUUGACCUGCAUAUCAUGAAUGUGGACAUUUAAGAGUGAAACAUUAGCAUACGUCUAUUUUCACACAUGGUGUUUGAUUAAGCACUAGUGUAGUACUUUCUUCUUUUUCUCCGGUUCCCUCUGCAGUUCAAAGAAAAAAAAAAAGAAAAAGAGUAGAAAUCUUGCAACCAGAGCACUUCAUGUCAGUGGAGUUCUUGAUCCAGGUCAUUACAUUGUGAACUGAAAUUUGGGUAAACUUAGAAAGAAAGCAAAAUAGACAAACAUGACAGCAGUCGUUGCGGGGCUCGAAAAUUGUUUUUUCUGGGAAUGUCGGCAGUGGCUCAUUGGCUCUGCAAAAACAGAACAAAUUUAAUAGGACAAAAUUUCUAAUCAUUUUCAUUCAAGUUGAGAAAUGACUGAAAGUAAAAGCAUCCCAUUUUGACGAAGAUCAUUGCAAUGUGAUGAGAAGAAGACUGAAACGGGGAAAUAAGAGAAUCAAAGUGGACAAAAAUGGCUAAACUUGUGGGGUUCCAAAACUGGUUUUUCUGGGAAUUCUGUCAAAACAGUACAAUGAAGUUGGGAAUGAACUUGGGGCCAAGUAGUGAUGUCAAUGGCCCAAUGCUUCUGCCAAAAACAGAACCAACCAUUGCCCUUCCCCACUUGGCCACUUCUCUACAUGAGAGCUGAACAAGGACACAAGCUUUCUGGAUACAUAAUAACACUACUAUAGUGUUUAGAUGUAUGAAGGUAAAUCUGUCAGGAUACAUAAUAAAGAUUCUUUAAUCAAGUAGAAGAUACUUAAAAUAUAGACAAAAUAUAGACACGCAGCGUGGCUAAGUCUUUCUAGUGAGAACUUGCCCAUGACUGGAAUGAGCAAUACUUCAAUUA